rnacentral:rRNA from 1 species
UACGAAGGGGGCCAGCGUUAUUCGGAAUUAUUGGGCGUAAAGGGCGCGUAGGCUGCUUUGCGUGUCUUUCGUGAAAUCCCUCGGCUCAACUGAGGACGUGCGGAAGAAACUGCAGGGCUGGAGUCCGGGAGAGGAGGGUGGAAUUCCCGCUGUAGCGGUGAAAUGCGUAGAUAUUGGGAGGAACACCGGUGGCGAAGGCGGCCCCCUGGACCGGUACUGACGCUGAGGCGCGAAAGCGUGGGUAGCAAACGGG